rnacentral:rRNA from 1 species
CAGUCGCCGCGGGAAUACAGAGGGUGCGAGCGUUAAUCGGAUUUACUGGGCGUAAAGCGUGUGUAGGUUGUUGUUCAAGUCAGUUGUGAAAUCCCUGGGCUCAACCUGGGAACUGCUUCUGAGACUGAACGACUAGAGUACGGUAGAGGGUGGUGGAAUUUCCGGUGUAGCGGUGAAAUGCGUAGAUAUCGGAAGGAACAUCAAUGGCGAAGGCAGCCACCUGGGCCUGUACUGACACUGAGACACGAAAGCGUGGGGAUCAAACAGGAUUAGAUACCCCAGUAGUCCCUGUCUCUUAUAC